AUGAACGCUGGCGGCGUGCCUAAUACAUGCCCGUCGAGCGAACAGACGAGGUGCUUGCUCCUCUGACGUUAGCGGCGGACGGGUGAGUAACACGUGGAUAACCUACCUAUAAGACUGGGAUAACUUCGGGAAACCGGAGCUAAUACCGGAUAAUAUAUUGAACCGCAUGGUUCAAUAGUGAAAGACGGUUUUGCUGUCACUUAUAGAUGGAUCCGCGCCGCAUUAGCUAGUUGGUAAGGUAACGGCUUACCAAGGCAACGAUGCGUAGCCGACCUGAGAGGGUGAUCGGCCACACUGGAACUGAGACACGGUCCAGACUCCUACGGGAGGCAGCAGUAGGGAAUCUUCCGCAAUGGGCGAAAGCCUGACGGAGCAACGCCGCGUGAGUGAUGAAGGUCUUCGGAUCGUAAAACUCUGUUAUUAGGGAAGAACAAAUGUGUAAGUAACUAUGCACGUCUUGACGGUACCUAAUCAGAAAGCCACGGCUAACUACGUG
rnacentral:rRNA from 1 species